rnacentral:rRNA from 1 species
UAGGGAAUCUUCCACAAUGGACGCAAGUCUGAUGGAGCAACGCCGCGUGAGUGAAGAAGGUCUUCGGAUCGUAAAACUCUGUUGUAAGAGAAGAACGUGUGUGAGAGUGGAAAGUUCACACAGUGACGGUAACUUACCAGAAAGGGACGGCUAACUACGUGUCAG